AUAUAAUAAACCCAUAAUUUUACACAAUGAAUUUGUAGUAAUAAAAUUUUAAAAUAAGAAAUAAGUUUGGCCCCUGUUGUAAUUUGGGACCUAGGAGAUAUAGACACUCUGCACUUCCUUCUCCAACUGCUUGUUGUAUUCUCUGUAACCCAUUAUCCCUGGAAAAGCAUUUUCUCCCUGUGGAUCCUAGACUGUUACAGAAAUUAAAAAUCCCCUCCCUUGCAUACCCAAAUUUCUUCUCUUCAGAGGGCACAGCCAAUGGCGUACACUUCCAACUGAAAUUGCAGGACAGCUGCUGUUCUUUGCUCCUGGAGAUCCCCAGUGGUGAACCACUUAACCAACAUAUUUUGAUUAUCUACCAUGAGUCUGCAGUGAAGGGUUCUUCAGUUCUGAAAAAGCUCACAGUCUGGGAGAAGAGAUAAAGCCAAGCUAUUAACUCUCAGCAAAGGUGAACCUGAAAGACCCCCAGAGGCUCAGGCCCCCAGGAUAUUGGCCCAGGACCCAGCGACCCCAAUCACCAGGCAGAGUCGAAAACUUGAUGUAAACAGCAAGAGAGACCAUGAGGGUUUACAAGGAAGCAUAAGAACAAUUUUCUCCAUGAAGAUAUCAAAGCAGAAGAAAAAUAGGAUGAAAAUAUAAGAUGAACUCAGAUGAGACCCCAUAAGGCAUUGUUGGAGAUUCUGAGACUCCUGAUAGUAAAAGCGAAGAGGAAAAUGUACCUUCCAGCUGAGCCACCUCACCAGUCCCAAGUAUCUGUGGUCUCUGAAGCUGCUUUGAAGCUGGUAUUGGUGACAGGAAACCCCACGAAGAAAAUUAUCUCCUCGAAAAC
rnacentral:lncRNA from 1 species